AUUGCGCUAGAGAGGACAUGAAUGAGGAGCACACCUCAGCUAAUAAACAUGACAUCUUAUUAAUGCUUCUGUUUAUAGCUAAUGAAUGUGACCAAAACCAGCCACAGCUGAGAAGUAUUUAUCAAGUACCACAAACCUCCCAGAGUCCUUGACCCAGCCAUUGCAUAUAAAGAAGGAAUUCUAAGGAUCUCAUCACAGACACACACAAAGAAAUCGCAAAAACAUUCAUGACAAUGCUGCUCCCAAUAGAGGGAAGUUUGAAACAACCCAGAAGUUCAAUCGCACAAGACAUAAACUAAAUAAAGCCCAGUUGUAUGCAGAA